rnacentral:lncRNA from 1 species
UCAGCUACAGUACCGUGCCAUACCUCACAUGACCCAUAAGAGGGGGGCCGGGCUGAGCUUGGGUUUUCUGGCCCAUAGCCCAAGCUCGGCCUGGCCCAUAAAAGCCUAGGUCGGCAUGACCCAUUGGCCAGGCACAACAUGGCCUGCGUGCCAGCCCGGUCCCUUUGAGACGGGCCGUGCUAUGGCAUAGCCCUCCUCCGAAACUCCC